ACGGACGUAAGAAAUGCAUAUUGGGACGGAGCGUCCGGACGCGGCGAGUGUCCACAUUCGCGGAGGGGGGGACCGCCAUCUUGGUAGGCAAACUUCGUUGCCUUCUUAAAUCCCAAAUUGAAACCGAAAAAACAUCGAAAAUUAUUCUCCACAGGUUUCCAAAGGCUGAGGAUAAGAGACUAAAAUGGUUUGAAUGUACACAAUUGCCAUUAACAUCGUUACCUACGAUUGCAUACCUCUGCUCUGUACAUUUCGUAGAGGACAGUUUUGACCGUACUUCCCUUAGCUGUACAAGGCUGAAAAGAGACGUUAUUCCAGCAAUAAACAUUAUAAAUACUGGAAAACCAGACAACUUGAGUGAACAUGAACAUGAGCAUGUAUAACAAGUCCAACAAGACGUGUAUCCAUCAACGUCAAAAACAAUAGAUGAAGAAAUACCUGAGGAAAUAUUUUUAAUAUAAUAUGAUUCCACAUGCGGAAAAACUGAUGCCAAUACCAGAUCAGACUUACUAAAGACACAGUUCGAGAGUACACCAAAACGCAUUCACAAAUGUGAUGUAACAACCCAAUGUAAGCCACAAAAGCGUCAAUGUAUUCAGUCAGCAUUGUGUGAACAAACCGUUCAGGGAACACAAGUUAAAUCAGAGAGUUCAUCAGAAAUUACGAAUGAUACGUAUCUGUCAAAGUCACCGUUUCUGAUAAACCAACAAAAUAACGAGACCUUAAGUGAUUCCCGAGGCCAACUACAGGAUACUCCUAGAAAAAUACUUCUGCGUAAAACGUUAAAAGCUCAACAAGAUAAAUUACGACGGCAGAUACAAACACUCAAAAAACGAAAUCAGCGGCUAGAAAAAAAAAUUACUGUCCUUAAUUUGAUUUUAAAUGAAUUAAAAGCAAAACAGAUGCUUGACGAGGAGCAGCUUGAUUUACUAAAGACUAUUGACUCAUUUCGAACAUCCGAUUACUCGUGAAAAAAUAUUUGUAUCCCCUGAUCCUUGCCACUUGAUAAAGUUAGUAAGAAAUACUUUCGGGGAAGUACAAAUUUUAUUAGAUGGUAAUGAUCAGAGAAUAAAAUGGGGAAUGAUCGAAGAGCUGUAUAAAUUGCAAACGAACGAAGGGAUGCAUUUCCUGAACAAGCUUCGUUCAACCCACGUACUCUUUCACAAGAACAAAAUGAAAGUUCGAUUCGCUACACAACUAUGCAGUACGUCUGUCACCCAAUCUUUCAGGGUUUGUAGAGAAGACUUACAGCUACCGGAAUUUCAAAAUAGUUUGGCAACUGAAACGUUUUUGUCAAUUCUUAACGACCUAUUCGACAUUUUUAAUUCAAAAAAUAUGCAUCAGGUAAAUUCAAAAAAACCAAUCAAUGCAAACAACUGACAGCAAGUGUUCCAAAAAAUGGAGGAGUGUAAGGUCUACAUAUUAAAGCUAAAACUAUGCGAUGGUAAAAGAGUUGUUGACUCGUCGCGAAAAACAGGAUUUCUUGGUUUUCUAAGAUGUAUUAACAGCCUGCAGGGAUUCUAUAAGGACUUCUGUCAGAUGUCGAUAUUACUCGCAUAUAUUCCGACCUGUAAAAUAAGUCAAGACCACAUAGAAGUAUUCUUUGGAUGUAUUCGCUCGUAGGGUGGACACAAUAAUAAUCCAACAACUCGUCAGUUCAAAUCAUCACUUGAGAAAUUAUUAAUUCAUUCUGAAGUUAGGGACACAGAUUCUGGAAAUUGCAUACCUCUUGAGCAAAUAACUAUUUUACACGUAUCUUCUGCUAAAUCUUCAGAGCAUGUUAUUAACAUGUCUACCCCGUUUACCAGAACGUGUGAUCGAGAAAUCCCGCGCUUAGCAGAUUCAAAUGACAUCUUAAAUACUAUUGAAGAUCAUUCUUAUAUACCAGACAUUCGCUUUCUGACACAGCCUUCAAUGAGAGUCAUAGCUUACAUAGCAGGUUUUGUCGUUAGAAGUUUGAAAAAAAAACUUUGCUGUGUGAGAUAUGAAUCGAUGCUUUGUUGGGAGAUGAAAACUACGUAGAAUCAACCCUAAUUGAAAUUAAAACUCGCAGUGGCCUGCAGUUUCCAUCGAAGGAUGUUAUCCGGAUUUGUAAGGAUGCGGAAAGAAUUGUAAGGUGCACCCUAAAAGAAAUUGGUGGUAGGUUUAUGACAAACAAAUUCACUGAGAUGUAUCUUGUCAGCCGCACACUUUCGAAAUUCACAGAUUUUGAUGUAAUAUUUGAGCAUUUGCGGCAACAUGUAUACGACCAAAACUUUUUGGAAAAUCAUGACAUACAUUUAGCAAGAGCGAUACUGUCAAAUUAUAUCGAAGGAAGAUUAUUUUACAUUGGCAAACUAGCUGUUGAUAAUUCUAUAAGCGAAAGACACAAAUUCAACAAAUUAACUUGGUUCAAACGCCAGUAGUCAGUGGGCACAAGAAAUUUUUUACACAUGUAAAUAAACUUGUAUGAAUAAAAUACAAUGUGAUUCGAAAUAA
rnacentral:lncRNA from 1 species